rfam:Felis catus isolate Cinnamon breed Abyssinian chromosome F1, whole genome shotgun sequence.
GCCUGGGUGGCUCAGUCGGUUGAGCGUCCGACUUCGGCUCAGGUCAUGAUCUCGUGGUCCAUGGGUUCGAGCCCCACAUCGGGCU